UACGAAGGGGGCGAGCGUUGUUCGGAUUUACUGGGCGUAAAGGGCGCGUAGGUGGCGCGAGAAGUCGAGUGUGAAAGCCCCGGGCUCAACCUGGGAAUUGCGCUCGAUACUCUUGUGCUUGAGUUCGGGAGAGGAGCGUGGAAUUCCCAGUGUAGAGGUGAAAUUCGUAGAUAUUGGGAAGAACACCGGUGGCGAAGGCGGCGCUCUGGACCGAGACUGACGCUGAGGCGCGAAAGCGUGGGGAGCAAACAGG
rnacentral:rRNA from 1 species